rnacentral:ncRNA from 1 species
AAAAAUGAGAGUUUGAUCCUGGCUCAGGACGAACGCUGGCGGCGUGCCUAAUACAUGCAAGUCGAGCGAGCGAGAUGAACGGAAUACUUCGGUAGGAAGUUCAGAUUGCGAGCGGCGGAUGGGUGAGUAACACGUAGGCAAUCUACCCUUAAGCGGGGGAUAACACCUGGAAACAGGUGCUAAUACCGCAUAAAACUAAGGACGCCUGUUCUAAAGUUAAAAGACGGUGAGAGCUGUCACUUAAGGAUGAGCCUGCGGCGUAUUAGCUAGUUGGCAAGGUAAGAGCUUACCAAGGCGAUGAUACGUAGCCGACCUGAGAGGGUAAUCGGCCACAUUGGGACUGAGACACGGCCCAAACUCCUACGGGAGGCAGCAGUAGGGAAUCUUCCACAAUGGACGCAAGUCUGAUGGAGCAACGCCGCGUGGAUGAAGAAGGUCUUCGGAUCGUAAAAUCCUGUUGUUGAAGAAGAACGUAUGUGAGAGUAACUGCUCAGAUAGUGACGGUAUUCAACCAGAAAGUCACGGCUAACUACGUGCCAGCAGCCGCGGUAAUACGUAGGUGGCAAGCGUUG